UCCCGGCAGUCCAAGUCGCAACCACAUUUACUGGGUCUAAAACAUCCGUAGCUUGUUUUGCAAGUCUCUUGUGAAAUCUGGCAUCUUAAGUGUCAGGCGUGCAAGAGAUACUGCAAAGCUAGAGACCGGAAGACGCAAUGAGUACACUUGAGGUAGUGGUAAAAUACGUUAAUCUCAAGCGGACUACCAAUUGGCGAAGGCACGUUGCGAGGACGGAUCUGACAGUGAGGGAUGAAGGCCAGGGG
rnacentral:rRNA from 1 species